UGGCGGGACGGGGUGGAGUAAUGUCUGGGAAACUGCCCGAUGGAGGGGGGUAACUACUGGAAACGGUAGCUAAUACCGCAUAAUGUCUACGGACCAAAGCGGGGGACCUCCGGGCCUCGCGCCAUCAGAUGAACCCAUAUGGGAUUAGCUUGUAGGUAAGGUAACGGCUUACCUAGGCGACGAUCCCUAGCUGGUCUGAGAGGAUGAUCAGCCACACUGGGACUGAGACACGGCCCAG
rnacentral:rRNA from 1 species